CGGCGAGUGAAGCGGCAACAGCUCAAAUUUGAAAUCUGGCCCUAGGCCCGAGUUGUAAUUUGCAGAGGAUGUUUCUGGCGAGGUGCCUUCCGAGUUCCCUGGAACGGGACGCCAUAGAGGGUGAGAGCCCCGUACGGUUGGUCGCUAAGCCUCUGUGAAACUCCUUCGACGAGUCGAGUAGUUUGGGAAUGCUGCUCUAAAUGGGAGGUAUACGUCUUCUAAAGCUAAAUACCGGCCAGAGACCGAUAGCGCACAAGUAGAGUGAUCGAAAGAUGAAAAGCACUUUGAAAAGAGGGUUAAAUAGUACGUGAAAUUGUUGAAAGGGAAGCGCUUAUGACCAGACUUGGACCGGUUGAUCAUCCAUCGUUCUCGGUGGUGCACUCUGCCGGUUCAGGCCAGCAUCAGUUCGUCCCGGGGGAUAAAGGCUUUGGGAAUGUGGCUCUUCGGAGUGUUAUAGCCCACUGCGUAAUACCCUGGGAUGGACUGAGGUUCGCGCUCCGCAAGGAUGCUGG
rnacentral:rRNA from 1 species